rnacentral:lncRNA from 1 species
UUAAUUUGAAUAGUGCUUAUGCAACAUCGAAAUUGCUUCACACACGACGAUUUCCGUCCGAUCCUUGUACAACACUUUUCCAGCUCGUGCAAUUUAUUACGUAUCUCUUCCCAUGCCCAAAGUCCAGCCCAAACCUUUUAAAAAAAGUCCAGCCCAAACCUCUUAAAAAAAGUCCAGCCCAAACCCAGACCAACAGAACUACGAUACCCUGUAUAAUCUGUCUAUGACUCCACUUCUUCCCUCCAUACCCUUUCACGCCUCUUCUUCUUCUCUCUGGAACAUGUCUGUCCAUCUUCACGAUCCCCUUCUCCCCGAUCUGUAAAUCAAUCACCAUCAACUUGCAGCGAGCUUUGAUCUGCGACCAAUACAAAGAAAUCCAAUCAAAAGAGAAACAAAACGAGGUAUGUGCAAUCCCUGGUUUAUAUGUUGCGUUCUUUAGAUCUAAUUUUCUGGGGACGGUUAAGAGAUAGGACGGAUGCAAAUUCUGCAAUUCUAUCUCUGAAGUUGAUCUUGGAAAGAUGCCUCACUUAACAACCUCUGUUAUUGGCUAUUAUACUACAGGUAGGUGAUGGAGUCAAAUUUAUCUGAGGAUGAAGCAGUUGAACAGAAUAAUGCAGAAGAUUUCAUCUUGGAGGAAAUUGGGGAUUGUUUGGAUGACCAACAAGGAGAGGCGAGUUUGAUGUUGGAACCUAAAAGGGGAGUGAUGUUCGAUAGUGAGGAUGAUGCUGUUACAUUCUACAAAGGUUAUGCUAAAAAGAAGGGAUUUGGUAUAUUAAGAAGAACAACUAGACAUGAUGAUGACAACAAGCUUAGAUAUUUUACACUUGCUUGUAGCAGACAAGGGAAGGCUCAGUACUCAUCAAAGAACUCAUUUAAACCAAAUCCAUCGACAAGGAUGCAAUGCCCAUGUAAGAUAAAUUUCUCUCGUCGUGGAGAAAAGUUUUGCAUUACUUCUUUUAUACUUGAUCACAAUCAUCCUACAAGUCCUAGCAAAUCCAGAUUUCUGAGGUGUCACAAGAAACUAGACUUAGACGCCAAGAGAAGGUUAGAACUGAAUGAUCAAGCAGGAAUUCGUACGAACAAAAAUUUUGGUUCUCUUGUUAUUCAAGCUGGUGGCUAUGACAAACUUGAAUUUGGUGAAAAGGAGUGCAGAAACUAUUUGCAGGAGACAAGAAGAUUGAAGCUUGGUGCUGGAGAUGCACAUGCAGUUUAUCAAUAUUUUCUCCGUAUGCAGUCAAAAGAUACUAACUUUUUUCAUCUUAUGGAUGUGGCCGAGGAUGGACGACUCAGAAAUGUGUUUUGGGCAGAUGCAAGAAGCAGGGCUGCAUAUGAAUCUUAUUCGGAUGUCAUCACAUUUGACACAACAUACUUAACAAAUAAGUAUAGCAUGCCAUUUGCUCCUUUUGUUGGCGUAAACCAUCACGGAGAAUCAGUUUUGUUAGGUUGCGGUCUUUUGUCGAAUGAAGACACAGAUACUUUUAUUUGGUUAUUCAAUUCUUGGUUAUGUUGUAUGUCAAAUAAAGCACCCAAUGCUAUAAUCACAGACCAGUGCAAAGCAAUGCAGAAUGCUAUUGAAGAAGUUUUCCCUUAUGCUCGUCACAGAUGGUGUAUAUGGCAUAUCAUGAAGAAGAUCCCUGAAAAGCUUAGUGGGUACGAGAAGUAUGAAAAUAUAAAAUAUACCUUGUCAAAUGUGGUGUAUGAUUCCUUGACGAAACAUGCUUUUGAUGAAGGUUGGGUUAAGAUGAUCAACAAAUAUGAUCUUCAGGACAAUGAUUGGCUUGAUGGAUUAUACAGUGAAAGAUAUCGAUGGGCACCGGCAUAUGUGAAAGAUACUUUUUGGGCAGGAAUGUCUUCAACACAAAGGAGUGAGAGUGUGAAUGCUUUCUUUGAUGGCUAUGUCCAUGCCAGAACAACUCUGAAGCAAUUUGUGGAGCAGUAUGAAAAUGCAUUAAGAGACAAGGUAGAGAAAGAAAACAAGGCUGAUUCAAAGUCGUUCCAAGAGGUAAUUCCGUGCAUUACUCACUAUGACUUUGAGAGGCAAUUUCAAGCAGCGUAUACCAAUGCAAAGUUUCAGGAGUUUCAAGAGCAAUUAAGAGGUAAAAUCUAUUGCUAUCCAACUAUGUUGAACAAAGAAGGGUUACUUUAUACAUUUAAAGUCAGAGAGGACCGUAAGAUAUUUUUUGAAGGAGAGGACGGCGAGAUUAAAGAGAACAGAUUUAUUUCAGAGUUCACUGUCUUGUUCAACAAAGUGGAUUGUAAUAUCCAAUGUCUUUGUAGGCUUUUCGAAUUUCGAGGCAUCUUGUGUAGCCACAUCCUUUCUGUUCUUGCUCUCAUGGAGAUCACAGAAGUACCUUCUAGGUAUAUAUUGCAGCGAUGGAGAAAGGAUUUUAAGCGUAAACACACAUUUAUGAAAUGCUCCUAUGAUGAUAUGCUGAAUACACCAGUUAUGCAACGUUAUGAUAGUUUGUGCAAACGUUCCCACCAAGUGGCAGAAAAUGGGGCAGAGUCUGAUGCAUUGCAUAAAUUGGUAAUGGAUGGGCUUAAUCAGUUACAAAUAAAGAUUGAUGCAUACCGUGCUAGCCAUGAAGUCCAGGAUCAGUAUACAGCUUCAAAGCCUGAAGAUACAUUGUUCGAGCAGCACACUGAAAAAGUUGUACUCAGCCCGAUCCAUGUGCGUAGUGUAGGCCGUCCUCGUUCAAAGAGAAAAG